GCUGACCCCUGUUUUAAAAUCUCCAUACAUACACUAUUACCAAAAAGUGUCACCUUCACUAAAAUCAUGGUGCAUAACACGGCACAAGGGCAGAAAAGUUACGUGAUUCAAUUUCGUACAGAACAUGGGAGAUAUGACAUUUUAGAAGAUGAGAACUGAGAAGAAAUCACGGAAGGCCAUAGGUUUGAAGAAAUAGAAGUUUUCCUCCUCUGUUCUCUUGGCUGGUGACAGUUUUGGAUUUUUUUUAAACCUCAUAGAUAUGGACAUUCAUUUCAUUUUAUACUCAUUUUCAAAAUAAAUGUCCUAUUUUGAAAGGUUUUAAAGGUAUUAA